CACAGGAGGGACUGCAUUGUUAAUAAUCAAUUGGUAGAGUAUUAAGGUGGAACAGAAGAGUUCUAGAGGUAAUAAGAAGAGGAGAAAAAUAUCAGAUGGAGAGAUGAAAUUCGUAGAUAUCUGGUGGACGGACAAAGGCGAGGGCGUCCCUCUAAUAGAAAAAUUGAUUAUGAUUAUGAUUAUGAUUAUGAUUAUGAUUAUGAUUAUGUUUAUAAUAAACCUGACACUGAGAUACUAGAGUGUAGGGAGCAAAAGGG
rnacentral:rRNA from 1 species